UUAGGUGCCUAUAUCGGCGGUGUCUACCUCUUCCCAUUCCGAACAGAGCAGUCAAGCCCGCCAGAGCCGAUGGUAUUGCCG
rnacentral:rRNA from 1 species